rnacentral:rRNA from 1 species
AGAGUUUUUUCCUGGCUCAGGAUGAACGCUAGCGGCAGGCCUAAUACAUGCAAGUCGAACGGUAAAUGCCCUUUCGGGGGUAUGAGAGUGGCGCACGGGUGCGUAACGCGUAUGCAACCCACCCGCUGCCGGGGGAUAGCCCGGAGAAAUUCAGAUUAAUACCCCAUGAUGAGUCUGAGCGGCAUCGCUUGACUUACAAAAAUUCAGCGGCGGCGGACGGGCAUGCGAGCCAUUAGAUAGUUGGCGGGGUAACGGCCCACCAAGGCGACGAUCGCUAGGGGAUCUGAGAGGACGGUCCCCCACACUGGUACUGAGACACGGACCAAACUCCUACGGGAGGCAGCAGUAAGGAAUAUUGGUCAAUGGAGGGAACCCUGAACCAGCCAUGCCGCGUGAGGGAAUAAGGCCCUACGGGUCGUAAACCUCUUUUGUCUGGGGAUAAGGACAUCCACGUGUGGGUGUUUGAAUGUACCUUGAGAAUAAGCAUCGGCUAACUCCGUGCCAGCAGCCGCGGUAAUACGGAAGAUGCGAGCGUUAUUCGGAAUUAUUGGGUUUAAAGGGUGAGCAGGCGGGCGCAUUAAGUCUGCGGUGAAAGGUUCGGGCUCACCACGAGCACUGCCGUUGAUACUGGUUGUUUUGAAUGCGGUCCAGGCCGGCGGAAUGUGGUGUGUAGCGGUGAAAUGCAUAGAUAUGCCACAGAACUCCGAUAGCGAAGGCAGCUGUCCGGGCUUGCAUUGACGCUCAGGCUCGAAAGCGUGGGUAUCGAACAGGAUUAGAUACCCUGGUAGUCCACGCUGUAAAC